rnacentral:snRNA from 1 species
AACAUUAAUAUUGCAAUAAAUUCUAGUGCGAUUAUUGCUAAUUGAAAACUUUACCCAAUACCCCGCCUUGACGACUUGAAAUAUAGUCGGCAAUGGCAAUUUUUGAUGGUCUCUAAGGAAA